UACGGGGGGGGCUAGCGUUGUUCGGAAUUACUGGGCGUAAAGGGCGCGUAGGCGGCCUACUAAGUCGGACGUGAAAUCCCUCGGCUCAACCGGGGAACUGCGUCUGAUACUGGAUGGCUGGAGUUUGGGAGAGGGAUGCGGAAUUCCAGGUGUAGCGGUGAAAUGCGUAGAUAUCUGGAGGAACACCGGUGGCGAAGGCGGCAUCCUGGACCAAUACUGACACUGAGGAGCGAAAGCCAGGGGAGCAAACGGG
rnacentral:rRNA from 1 species